rnacentral:rRNA from 1 species
GNNGGCGACCGGCAAACGGGUGCGUAACACGUACGCAACUUACCCAUUACNGGUGAAUAGCCCAGGGAAACUNGGAUUAAUACACCAUAAUACACAGAAAAGGCAUCUUUUUUAUAUUAAAGCUUCGGCGGUAAUGGAUGGGCGUGCGGUUGAUUAGAUAGUUGGCGGGGUAACGGCCCACCAAGUCUACGAUCAAUAGCUGAUGUGAGAGCAUGAUCAGCCACACGGGCACUGAGACACGGGCCCGACUCCUACGGGAGGCAGCAGUAAGGAAUAUUGGGUAAUGGACGAAAGUCUGACCCAGCCAUGCCGCGUGAAGGAUGAAGGUCCUCUGGAUUGUAAACUUCUUUCAUCUGGGGCGAAAACCUCCCUUUCUAGGGGGCUUGACAGUACCAGAAGAAUAAGCACCGGCUAACUCCGUGCCAGCAGCCGCGGUAAUACGGAGGGUGCAAGCGUUAUCCGGAUUCACUGGGUUUAAAGGGUGCGUAGGCGGGCAGGUAAGUCAGUGGUGAAAUCCCCGAGCUUAACUCGGGAACUGCCGUUGAUACUAUCUGUCUUGAAUACCGUGGAGGUGAGCGGAAUAUGUCAUGUAGCGGUGAAAUGCUUAGAUAUGACAUAGAACACCAAUUGCGAAGGCAGCUCGCUACACGGUCAUUGACGCUGAGGCACGAAAGCGUGGGGAUCAAACAGGAUUAGAUACCCUGGUAGUCCACGCCCUAAACGAUGAUUACUCNACAUCAGCGAUACACUGUUGGUGUCUAANCUAACGCAUUAAGUAAUCCACCUNNGAGUACGCCGNCNACNNUGAAACUCANAGGA